rnacentral:rRNA from 1 species
AUUGAACGCUGGCGGCAGGCCUAACACAUGCAAGUCGAACGGUAACAGGAAGCAGCUUGCUGCUUUGCUGACGAGUGGCGGACGGGUGAGUAAUGUCUGGGAAACUGCCUGAUGGAGGGUGAUAACUACUGGAAACGGUAGCUAAUACCGCAUAACGUCGCAAGACCAAAGAGGGGGACCUUCGGGCCUCUUGCCAUCGGAUGUGCCCAGAUGGGAUUAGCUAGUAGGUGGGGUAACGGCUCACCUAGGCGACGAUCCCUAGCUGGUCUGAGAGGAUGACCAGCCACACUGGAACUGAGACACGGUCCAGACUCCUACGGGAGGCAGCAGUGGGGAAUAUUGCACAAUGGGCGCAAGCCUGAUGCAGCCAUGCCGCGUGUAUGAAGAAGGCCUUCGGGUUGUAAAGUACUUUCAGCGGGGAGGAAGGGAGUAAAGUUAAUACCUUUGCUCAUUGACGUUACCCGCAGAAGAAGCACCGGCUAACUCCGUG